rnacentral:snRNA from 1 species
AUACUUACCUGGCAGGGGGAGAUACCAUGAUCAAGAAGGUGGUUCACCCAGGGCGAGGCUCAGCCAUUGCACUCCGGUUGUGCUGACCCCUGCGAAUUCCCCAAAUGUGGGAUCUCGACUGCAUAAUUUCUGGUAGUGGGGACUGCGUUCGCGCUCUAAA